AUGUCGGAUUUCAUAGCUUGGAGCUUUACAAAGAAUGGACUGUUCACAGUUCGUUCUGCUUAUCUAGAGGAAUGGAAAGCCCAACAUGGGAGGAAAUUGCAACACUCAUAUGGCAUUGGAGGAAUAAGUGUCAAUACUAUUUGGAGCAAGAUUUGGAAAUUAUCUUGUCCAGCAAAAGUGAAGAUCUUUAUUUGGCGUACCUUACAUGGAACCCUCCCGUGUCGUGUUACACUUGCUAAUAGACAUAUGAAUGUUUCGCCCACCUUCCCAUCAUGUUUGAACGGGCAUGAAGAUACUAAACACUUAUUAUUUUUAUGUCAAAAGGCAAAAAAGGUGUGGGAGCAACUGGGAUUGCACGAAGCCAUUAAAAAAGCCUGUGCGGUCGAUCGUGCGGGAGAGGCAGUACUUGAAUUUCUAAUUUUUAUGCCAGAACAUGAGCUAUCUACAUUGGGCAUAUAGAAUGUUCGCGAACUGAUCGCUAUAACAGCCUGUUAUUUAUGG
rnacentral:rRNA from 1 species